UAGGGUUCUUUCUGCAGCUGCACACCUGUUGGUCAUUAUGUAAUUAGUGCUUUAAAAGGACUCCCGGCCUGACCACUCAUUGUUGGGUCAUUAUUGCCAUUUACUGCUGUCAUGUUUGUUCUGGUCUUGUUUCGGUUAGUUGGUAGUUUUUUUUGCUUCAUUCAUGGUUUUGUUUGAUACUUCGGAUUCAUUUUGUUUUCAGGACUUUGUUUAGGAUUUAGUUUUCUGUGUUUUAUCAAUACACUCCUUCAAGUUCACCCCGCUCCUCCCUCCUGCCUGCUUUUUUGCGGUCCACCACCACCAUCACCUCGCAACGUGACACCCCCAAAUUUUGGACAGCAUAAUUAUACUGCGGUGGCACAGCGUGGCUUUGAAAGGAAGUUUUGAAGAAGCGACCCAAACAGAAUUGUGAGUGCUCCAGUGCGAAACUUGUCCUUUUGUGGCGGCAACUGGCAGGGAAACAAAACUACAUUUUUGCCACUAGCGUUGUUUUCCUUGGAGACACAAUCUUCUUCUUAUUCUUCUUCUCUGUCCUUUUUGUUGUCCGUGGCUUUGUCUUUUGCCCCUCAUGCUUACACAAUGUGAAUGUGUGUGUGUGUGUCUGCUCUUUGUGAUCAAAUAUGUCUUUUGAGCAGAAUGUAUUGGUGGUGCACCACCAAACAGGUUCUUUUCUUUUUUUUUCUUCUUUUCAUGACGCCGCUGUCUUUGACCGUGACCAUGAGAGCAAGUUGAUCAAAAGCAUUUUUUCUCCCCUAUUUCUCGCUUGCUCGCUCAGCUCGCCAACUUUGGAUUUCCUGGCGCGCACCCACCGCCUCCAUUGUCGUCCGUCUUGAUCCAUGUUCACGGCACAAAUAGGAACAAAAUAACAGGCUGAAUCGCGUUCAAUAAAAAUACCAGCACGCUAGUGACGGGAACACGUUUUACCAUC